rnacentral:rRNA from 1 species
GAUGAACGCUGGCGGCGUGCUUAACACAUGCAAGUCGAACGAAGCACCUUAUUCUGAUUUCUUCGGAAUGAAAAUUUGGUGACUGAGUGGCGGACGGGUGAGUAACGCGUGGGUAACCUGCCUCAUACAGGGGGAUAACAGUUAGAAAUGACUGCUAAUACCGCAUAAGACCACAGCACCGCAUGGUGCAGGGGUAAAACUCCGGUGGUAUGAGAUGGACCCGCGUCUGAUUAGCUAGUUGGUAAGGUAACGGCUUACCAAGGCGACGAUCAGUAGCCGACCUGAGAGGGUGACCGGCCACAUUGGGACUGAGACACGGCCCAA